CCCACACAGUUCAUUGGAGCUCUCAGCUGUGAGCAGUUUCCCAAUUAAGAGCAGAUCUGCAGAACACACUGGGGACUGACAGUCUCAUGUCUGGGUUUUUACAGAGAGCAACCUGGCCAGAUGGAUGCCAGUAACCUCCAAGGAUUCUUUUGGUCUCUGCAAUCCUCUUUAUUAAUUGCUUACCUACAACCAGAUGUUGAUAUUUGGGAGUUUCAUGAAUCUGAUUGUGCCAUUGCUAAACUAGCCAAGAAUAUAGAGGAAGAAAGGUCAUAUUUCAAGCCAUGAACUAGAAGCUUUGUCUACCAAUGUAGUGUGGGAUAGAACAUCAACAA